rnacentral:rRNA from 1 species
GACGAACGCUGGCGGCGUGCUUAACACAUGCAAGUCGAACGGAAAGGCCCUGCUUUUGUGGGGUGCUCGAGUGGCGAACGGGUGAGUAACACGUGAGUAACCUGCCCUUGACUUUGGGAUAACUUCAGGAAACAGGGGCUAAUACCGGAUAGGAGCUCCUGCUGCAUGGGGGGGGUUGGAAAGUUUCGGCUGUGGGGGAUGGAAUCGCGGGUUAUCAGCUUGUUGGUGAGGUAGUGGCUUACCAAGGCUUUGACGGGUAGCCGGCCUGAGAGCGUGACCGGCCACAUUGGGACUACGAGACGCCGCAGACUCCUACGGGAGGCAGCAGUGGAAAAUCUUGCACAAUGGGCGGACGCGUGAUGCAGCGACCCUGCGAGCGUAAUGACGGCCUUCGGGUUGUAAACCGCUGUCGACUGUGCCGAGGCGUGAGUGACGGUAAUGGGUCAAGAAGCACCGGCUAACUACGUG